GUCUGUGGCCAUAAUACCCUGAAUGCACUCAAUCUCAUCUGAUCUUAGAAACUGAGCAGGGUUAGGCCUGGUUACUAUGUGGAUGGGAGACCUGAGAGACUGCCUGGGAAUGCUGGGUGCUGUAGGCU
rnacentral:rRNA from 1 species